CUUGGUCAUUUAGAGGAAGUAAAAGUCGUAACAAGGUCUCCGUUGGUGAACCAGCGGAGGGAUCAUUACCGAGUUUACAACUCCCAAACCCCUGUGAACAUACCACUUGUUGCCUCGGCGGAUCAGCCCGCUCCCGGUAAAACGGGACGGCCCGCCAGAGGACCCCUAAACUCUGUUUCUAUAUGUAACUUCUGAGUAAAACCAUAAAUAAAUCAAAACUUUCAACAACGGAUCUCUUGGUUCUGGCAUCGAUGAAGAACGCAGCAAAAUGCGAUAAGUAAUGUGAAUUGCAGAAUUCAGUGAAUCAUCGAAUCUUUGAACGCACAUCGCGCCCGCCAGUAUUCUGGCGGGCAUGCCUGUUCGAGCGUCAUUUCAACCCUCAAGCACAGCUUGGUGUUGGGACUCGCGUUAAUUCGCGUUCCUCAAAUUGAUUGGCGGUCACGUCGAGCUUCCAUAGCGUAGUAGUAAAACCCUCGUUACUGGUAAUCGUCGCGGCCACGCCGUUAAACCCCAACUUCUGAAUGUUGACCUCGGAUCAGGUAGGAAUACCCGCUGAACUUAAGCAUAUCAAUAAGCGGAGGA
rnacentral:rRNA from 1 species